rnacentral:tRNA from 2 species
AAGGCUUUAAGUUAAAUAAACUAAUAGCCUUCAAAGCUGUAAAUAUAGAAAAAUCUUUAAGCCUUA